rnacentral:rRNA from 1 species
ACAUGUCUACGGGAGGCAGCAGUAGGGAAUCUUCCACAAUGGACGAAAGUCUGAUGGAGCAACGCCGCGUGAGUGAAGAAGGGUUUCGGCUCGUAAAGCUCUGUUGGUAGUGAAGAAAGAUAGAGGUAGUAACUGGCCUUUAUUUGACGGUAAUUACUUAGAAAGUCACGGCUAACUACGUGCCAGCAGCCGCGGUAAUACGUAGGUGGCAAGCGUUGUCCGGAUUUAUUGGGCGUAAAGCGAGGGCAGGCGGUUUAAAUAG